UACGUAGGGACCGAGCGUUGUCCGGAAUCCUUGGGCGUAAAGAGCGUGUAGGCGGCCACUUAAGUCCUGCGUGAAAUCUUGCGGCUCAACCGCAAGCGGUCGUGGGAAACUGGGUGGCUAGAGUGCGGGAGAGGAGAGUGGAAUUCCUGGUGUAGCGGUGGAAUGCGCAGAUAUGCGGAGGAACACCGAUGGCGAAGGCAAUCCCCUGGGCCUGCACUGACGCUCAUGCACGAAAGCGUGGGGAGCAAACAGG
rnacentral:rRNA from 1 species